rnacentral:rRNA from 1 species
GUUACUGUUGCAGUUAAAGCUCGUAGUUGGAUUUCGGGUGGGUUCUMGCGGUCCGCCUAUGGUGAGUACUGCUAUGGCCUUCCUUUCUGUCGGGGACGGGCUUCUGGGCUUAAUUGUCCGGGACUCGGAGUCGACGUGGUUACUUUGAGUAAAUUAGAGUGUUCAAAGCAGGCUUACGCCCUGAAUACUUUAGCAUGGAAUAACACGAUAGGACUCUGGCCUAUCUUGUUGGUCUGUAGGACUGGAGUAAUGAUUAAGAGGGACAGUCGGGGGCAUUCGUAUUUCAUUGUCAGAGGUGAAAUUCUUGGAUUUAUGAAAGACGAACUACUGCGAAAGCAUUUGCCAAGGAUGUUUUCAUUAAUCAAGAACGAAAGUUGGGGGCUCGAAGA